CAGAGACUGUAAAAAAAAAACCUUAAGAGUCUUCUGAGAAGAGCAAUUACAGAUGCUGCUGGAAAUAGAAUCACAGGUACUGGAAGGAACUGAGAGUCAGUUCGCUUUGAUGGGGGGAAUGAGCCUCUGAGGGAGCCUCUGUCCCUUUCAGAUAUCCUUGAUGACCUCUUCCAGCUCCUCUUUCGUGUACAUGUGGAACUUCAUGCCCGGCUCCACGGUGGCGAGCUCAAUGUUGGUUGCAUUCAGUUUCUCCUCCAUAACUUGCUUCAGGAUGACGAGGGAAGAUUUGAUUGCUUCUUUCAGCGUCAUGGACUUAUGGUACACCUCCUGCAGUGAGCUCUGCGCUCCUUCCGAGGCGGACCCGAUGGCUCUGGCAUCGCACUGCACGAACGUCCCCGAGGGGUCCAUGUGAAACAGCUGAGGUCCCUUCUCAUCAACUCCUCCAAAAAGCAGCGCGACACCAAAUGGACGAGACAUUGCACCGGGGUCUGCAUCCUCCUCCCCAAACUGCAGCGCCAGGUUGGACACAGCCUGCGUCACGCUCUCCACAGUCAUGGUUUCAUUGUAAGUGAACCAGUGAUUCUGUGUUUCCACUCUUGCUUUAUCAAUCAAAGUCUUGGCAUCCGCUAUUAAGCCGCUCAUGGCACACCCUAUAUGGGAAUCUAUUUCUACAAUCUUCUCAAUGCUGCUGGGCUCCAUGAGUGGGGAGGUGAUCCUCUUCUCCACAGCCAGGCACACGCCCUCCGAGGUCUGGAUGCCGAUGGCCGUAGAGCCGAGCUUAAUGGCCUCGAUGGCAUACUCCACUUGGAACAGCCUCCCCUCCGGAGAGAAAGUGUUCACGCCCCGGUCGUACUCAGAGCGCGUGAGAAACAUGGUGAUGGUGAUGGUGGUGGCGGCGGCGGGGGGCGCGGGGUCGGUGCGGGGGAGGCGCGGCGGCGGCAGCGGAACCGGAGCCGCUCUGCCCUCGCCGGGUUCGCAUCCACUUCCUGCCAACGGCCCGCAACGCGCACGCGCCGCCCCGCCUCCCUGCGUCACUUCCC
rnacentral:lncRNA from 1 species